rnacentral:rRNA from 1 species
AGCAGCCGCGGUAAUUCCAGCUCCAAUAGCGUAUAUUAAAGUUGUUGCAGUUAAAAAGCUCGUAGUUGAAUUUCGAGACCGGUUUAUUGGUCGUGCUUUUGUACGUACUGGUAUUAUUGGUUUCUCCUUUCUGACGAAUCUUAAUGCCAUUAAUUUGGUGUUUUGGGGAAUUAGGACUGUUACUUUGAAAAAAUUAGAGUGUUUAAAGCAGGCUCACGCUUGAAUACAUUAGCAUGGAAUAACGGAAUAGGACGUUUGAUUCUAUUUUGUUGGUUUCUAGGAUCGACGUAAUGAUUAAUAGGGAUAGUUGGGGGCAUUAGUAUUCAAUUGUCAGAGGUGAAAUUCUUGGAUUUAUUGAAGACUAAACUACUGCGAAAAGCAUUUGCCAAGGAUGUUUUCAUUAAUCAAGAACGAAAGUUAGGGGAUCGAAGACGAUCAGAUACCGUCGUAGUCUUAACCAUAAACUAUGCCGACUAGGGAUCGGAUGAUGUUAAUUUUUUAAUGACUCAUUCGGCGCCUUACGG